rnacentral:rRNA from 1 species
UGGGGGAAUAUUGGACAAUGGGGGCAACCCUGAUCCAGCAAUGCCGCGUGUGUGAAGAAGGUCUUCGGAUUGUAAAGCACUUUCGACGGGGACGAUGAUGACGGUACCCGUAGAAGAAGCCCCGGCUAACUUCGUGCCAGCAGCCGCGGUAAUACGAAGGGGGCUAGCGUUGCUCGGAAUGACUGGGCGUAAAGGGCGUGUAGGCGGUUUACACAGUCAGAUGUGAAAUCCCCGGGCUUAACCUGGGAGCUGCAUUUGAUACGUGUAGACUAGAGUGUGAGAGAGGGGUUGUGGAAUUCCCCAGUGUAGAGGUGAAAUUCGUAGAUAUUGGGAAGAACACCGGUGGCGAAGGCGGCAACCUGGCUCAUGACUGACGCUGAGGCGCGAAAGCGUGGGGAGCAAACAGGAUUAGAUACCCUGGUAGUCCACGCUGUAAACGAUGUGUGCUAGAUGUUGGGUAACUUUGUUAUUCAGUGU